CUAUUACAAAAUUAACACAUCAAGGUCUUAGGUGUUGUUGUACUUUACGGACCAAAAUUGUUCAAACAAACAUGAUAUAUACCAAACAUUGUUUUAAACUAUUGAAUGAUAAAUUGUGGUUUGUGGUUCAUAUUUGUUUGUUAGGUAUUGCAUGUAAAGUAAUGUAUCUAUAGAAAUGUUUGUCAUUAAGAUGUAUCACGAACACAACAUGAACAGACGCUAAAGAUAGAAGUACAGAUACAAUCAUUACAUCGGUGUAAGACAAUAUUUCAGUGUGAAUGAUAUAUAUAUCAUCAAAAUACUUGUUUCAACACGGAAACAGAUAUUUAUCUCAACAUGGUAUUUACAAGAACAAAGAAUCUAAAUUCAAACCAAACAAUGGGUCAGUUCUGAUUUGUAUGACGCAUAUAAGGUGAAACAUAUAGUAGUCAAUAAAUGUAGUUUCUGAGAACCAUUCAUAGUUGGUGGUUGGUAUUACUAACACCACAGAGUAAAACACAUAUCUUUACCAGUAUGGGACUUGUAUGGAGCUUUCUGCAGUUGGUCUAUACAACUGUGGCCAAUGCUACAGUAUUAUCAUGCAUUGGGGUAUUGUCUGUGAUAACGUACCAAAAUUAUUCUUACAAAAAAAAACUACAGGAAACAUUGGCUGAAUCAAACAGAAAACAAGAGGAAACCGUAACCGAAUUGAUGCAAAAAGAGAAAAACAAGUUAACUAAAUGGAUAGAAAAAGAGACGAAAACAAGUACUGAACUUAGAAGAAAACUGGUAGAUGAAUUUGAAAGAAAACAAGAAGAAACUCUGACUCAACUGAAAAGAAAACAAGAGGACACGAUAGCUGAUAUAAAAAGAAAACAUGAGGAAACGAUGGCUGAUUUAAAAAGAAAACAAGAGGACUUGAUUUCUGCUUCGAUAAAAAAACAAAUCGAUGCAGUAAUCAAAAACCAAGAGGAAACUUUGACUGAUUUUACAAAGAAAGGGAACGAGUUAAAUGAAUUAGUUAGAACAUAUAAGCAACAUUUAGAUCAAUUAAUGGAAGGGCAACAUAAUUUAAACAAAGAUUUACAAAAGGAAAAGGAAAAUUUGAUUGAUUUGAAAAGAAAACAAGAAGAACAAUCGAAAAUAACACAAGACUUAGCUGAAUUUAAAAAAAGUCAGGAGAAUACGUUGGCUGAAAUCGAAACAAAACAAGAUGGACAAGAGAAAAGGCUAGCUAUAUUAGAAAGAAAACAAGAAAAACUUUAUGCUGAUAAAUCUAAAAAGAGUAAACAAGAGAUAGCGGAGGCGGAUUUGAGAAAAAAACACUUAGAAGAAUUGAAAACGAAAGAAGAAGGAGAGGAUGCAAAUGAAUAGACAGAAAACGUGAAAAAUAAGUAAACUCAAUUCAUUAAAAAGCAGAAAAGAUUUAAAUGGAUAUAUAAAAAAACAUGGAAACGUUGCAGAAAAUGUUUGAUGCAUCUCAACUUUAAACAAGGUACUUUUAGUCAUAUAAAAACUUAUUUUAAAGAUAUUUGUUUUAAUAAUUUGUCUUAAUUUGUACGCCUAUUUCUUUUAGAAUACCUAUUUGUUUUCAGUAUACGUAUUUUUUAGUAUACGUAUUUAUUUAGUAUACUUAUUUCUACAGCAUGCUUAUUUCUUUGAGGAUACUUAUGUCUUUGACGAAAUAACAUGUUAAUUUCAUGAUUUUUUUUUUUGCAUCUUGUUAGAAUUGCCUUUAAUAUAUUAUACACGUAUUCAUGUAGAGGGGUAUUUGUUGGUGAAGGAAGGGACACACAAUUUUAUUCAUUCAAACAAUUAUUGUUUUUGUUGCUUAACUUAAAACAAUUGAUCACGAUAUGUGUUUAUGACAUGUUGUUGUAAAAGUCCAAUCUAGAAUUUGAAAAAUAUUAUGGAAAUUAUUUAAUGCAUAUAAACAUUGAUCAAGGAGAAGAUUACAAUGCUUAAAAUAGAGAAUUGAAAUGGGGAAUGUGUCAAGGAGACAACAACUCGACCAAAGAGUAAAAAAACAGCCGAAGGCAACUAAUGGGUCUUCAAUACAGCGAGAAAAUCCCGCACCCGGAAGCGGACUUCAGCUAGAUCCUAAACAAAAAUGUGUACUAUUUCAGUGAAAAUGAACUACAUACUUAACUACUAAAUAUAUAAAUGAACUAAUAUAUCUAUAAAAAAACAUAUAAGACUUACAAAGGCCAGAGGCUCCUGAAUUGGGACAGGCGCAAAAAAAAAAAAAAUAAUGAGAUCUCCACCCUUCCCCUAUACCUCUAACCAAUGUAGAUUAACAAACACACAGCAAUACGCACAGUAAAACUAAGCUUAAAAGAAGUCCUAGUCCGAUGUCAGAAAGGGUAAAAAAAAAGAAGCAAAAUGACGAUGAUACAUAUAUUAAUAAAGGACUACUAGCAGUAUACUUAAAUAGUAAAUAUAGAGUAUAUGUACAUAUCAAUGGCACAGAAACUUAAAACCCAGACAAACAACACAAGACAAGCACAUGUAAAACUAAAGUCUUCACCAAUAUACAUGCGUAUCACUAUCAAUAAGUGAUAUGUAAAACUCAGGUUAGAUAUGAUGUAAUUGCAAAAAUUCAAAAUACACCCCAACCGGUUUUAACAAAAUAAAAAACCUAAUCAAAAACUAUUCUAUCUAAGACGGUCGAACGUAUGCUUCAAAGAAAUGAUCACUAAACAAUCCCGAAAAUUAUAUGUAUAUUCAGAAUGAUAACAAUAAGCUAAUACUUAAACACAUACGCGACUCUGUGGGUUCGUGACUGAAUUAAAGUAAUUACACCCUGUUUUUAGCCUUGGUAUUUGGUAUUGGUAUUUUCAUCUGAUAAAGCCAUGCUGAUUAUAGGGUGCACAGUGUUCUAUAUUUAUUAUCUUCCAGUGUGAACACAUCCUGGAUUUCUUACUACAACCAGAAACUACAUGUUAUAUAUAUUUUUGGUAACGAUAUCGGAUUCCAUCCGGAACUUGUUAAUACUUGGUAAUAUUAAUUAUGUGGAAAACGAAAAUGUUUGGAAUGUACAACUCUUUAUCAACACCAUUGUCCUAUAUAAUAUAUAUAUAGUUGAAUUCUUUUAUUCGUCAUUGUUACAUCAUGCAGGCUUACAAAUUGGACCUCGUUAUUUUAAUAAUAUAGUAAAGAUGGCAAGAACACUACUUUGUCAGAGAGUGAACCAAUUUUUACUUUAUUAAAACUGUAUCAUUUUUA